CAGAAAUAGGUUGGUAACUGACUCAUGUUAGAAAAUAUAACAUUUAAAAAUAGAGAUGAUCACAUGCUGUGGGUGAUCCCAUGGAAUGGGGCUUCAGGUGGAGGUAGAAUUUAAACCGUGUUUUCUGCUCUCCUGUCACAGCACUGCUAUUAUUUGUGUUUCCCACACAGAAUCACAGCUUUUUGCACCUCCUCAAUGUGACUUACCAUAUUUAGGAACUGAGGCAAUCUGAAACCUUUUGAGAUAUGGUGGCCAGAAUUAAAUGGAAUACUCAGAUUCUCAAUGCACGUUUAAAGGCUGAAACAUCCACAGCAGCACUGCAAAGAUGGCAGUAAUGCCUUUGCGGAAUGCAUUGAUGUAUACAAGUAGUGAGAAGGAAAUGGUGCAAAAGCAAAUAAAGUGGAAGAGAACAAGUGAGUGUGAAAGAAGAGCAACUCCAUGCUAUUGGCUGUACUCAGCAGGACUGAUGAGGGCAGGAACUUGCAGACAAGUAAAUAUUACACUGAUGGUUUCAAUAUUGACCCUUUGUAAUAUGAUGCAAGAGAACAGCUUCUCAGAAGAAUGACUGAUGGGGCUUCUUCAAGCAAAAUCACUUUUGUUUUACACACUGGCAAUUCAAAUGCUAAAUGUAUUUAGUUUUAAUUGUGCUUUGACUUUUUAACUAAGCUAGUAUGUAGUCUCCAUUUGUAUCCUACUGCUGGAAGAAAAUGAAAGAUAUAAAAGCACUUUUGAAAGGGUGUAAUUUCUGAAAUCUUCUAGGGCCUGAAUAUAUGCUUUGAAGAGUUUAAAUAAACUCCAGAGAAGGAGAUUGAAAUGAAGUCUU
rnacentral:lncRNA from 1 species